rnacentral:rRNA from 1 species
UACGAAGGGGGCUAGCGUUGUUCGGAUUUACUGGGCGUAAAGCGCACGUAGGCGGAUCGUUAAGUCGGGGGUGAAAUCCUGGGGCUCAACCCCAGAACUGCCUUCGAUACUGGCGAUCUAGAGUCCGGAAGAGGUGAGUGGAACUCCUAAUGUAGAGGUGGAAUUCGUAGAUAUUAGGAAGAACACCAGUGGCGAAGGCGGCUCACUGGUCCGGUACUGACGCUGAGGUGCGAAAGCGUGGGGAGCAAACAGG